UGGAAGCAAAAGGAAGGUCGCGCUCAGACAGAUCUUUCUGAUCUUCAAAGGAAUCUUCGGGGAAUAGGAAAGUCAAUAUUGGCAAAGCGAGGAGAAUCGGAGAGAUCUCCAAUCUCCAACCAAUCUCGAGAGUUAUCUUCUCACAUCCUUCCAUCGAGAGAUCUCUCUGACUUUGGUGUCUACAAUAAACCAAGUGAAGAUCAAGGUAGGAUGGGGGAAAGCGAAACGAGGAAGAUGGUAUAAGAGCAAUUGUCGGCUCUUUACAGUGAGUUGGGACAAUGGCCUUAGUUGGAAUUAUGGAACCAGACGGUGUGGUGUCGCUUUGAACAUGUAGGCGGGAAACGUUUACUUAUCUUUCGUGACAAGAAAGGGUCAUAUUGAGAACUCCACAUGUAAGGGUGAGUAUGAGGUUGUGGUCAAAUUCUAUUGGACGUCGUAUAUUUGGAUAAUGGUUAUCAUGAGGAAAAUGGUAUUAAGGGACUACUCACGAAUUAUUGGAAA